rnacentral:rRNA from 1 species
AGUGAAUAGAUACCCGGGUAGUCCACGCCCUAAACGAUGUCGACUAGGUGUUCGGUGAGGAGACUCAUUGAGUACCGCAGCUAACGCGUGAAGUCGACCGCCUGGGGAGUACGGUCGCAAGAUUAAAACUCAAAGGAAUUGACGGGGACCCGCACAAGCGGUGGAUGAUGUGGAUUAAUUCGAUGCAACGCGAAAACCUUACCUACCCUUGACAUGUACGGAACCCUGCUGAGAGGUGGGGGUGGCUCGAAAGAGAGCCGUAACACAGGUGCUGCAUGGCUGUCGUCAGCUCGUGUCGUGAGAUGUUGGGUUAAGUCCCGCAACGAGCGCAACCCUUGUCAUUAGUUGCUACGCAAGAGCACUCUAAUGAGACUGCCGGUGACAAACCGGAGGAAGGUGGGGAUGGACGUCAAGUCCUCAUGGCCCUUA